ACUCAGACCUGGCAGGGGAGAUACCAUUGUCGUAAGAGUGGUUUUCCCAGGGUAAGGCUCAUCUAUUGCACUUUGAAUGAGCUUACUGGGCUGCAGGAGGCAGAUCCUAGAAAGCUAGCAGUGCAGAAUGGUGAGGUCCAAACAGAAAGCAGUCUCUGCUGCCAGUUC
rnacentral:snRNA from 1 species